rnacentral:rRNA from 1 species
AACAGGAUUAGAUACCCUGGUAGUCCACGCCCUAAACGAUGAUAACUCGAUGUUGGCGAUACACAGUCAGCGUCUAAGCGAAAGCAUUAAGUUAUCCACCUGGGAAGUACGACCGCAAGGUUGAAACUCAAAGGAAUUGACGGGGGCCCGCACAAGCGGAGGAGCAUGUGGUUUAAUUCGAUGAUACGCGAGGAACCUUACCUGGGCUUGAAAGUUAGUGACGGUCCCUGAAAGGGGAUCUUCCGCAAGGACACGAAACUAGGUGCUGCAUGGCUGUCGUCAGCUCGUGCCGUGAGGUGUUGGGUUAAGUCCCGUAACGAGCGCAACCCCUAUCAUUAGUUGCCACCAGGUUAAGCUGGGGACUCUAAUGAGACUGCCCGCGCAAGCGGUGAGGAAGGUGGGGAUGACGUCAAGUCAUCACGGCCCUUACGUCCAGGGCUACACACGUGCUACAAUGGUAGAUACAGCAGGUUGCCACAUGGUAACAUGGAGCUAAUCCCAAAAGUCUAUCUCAGUUCGGAUUGAGGUCUGCAACUCGACCUCAUGAAGCUGGAUUCGCUAGUAAUCGGAAAUCAGCAAUGUUCCGGUGAAUACGUUCCCGGGCCUUGUACACACCGCCCGUCAAGCCAUGGAAGUCGGGGGUACCUGAAGUCGAUAACCGUAAGGAGUCGCCUAGGGUAAAACCGAUGACUGGGGCUAAGUCGUAACAAGGUAACC